rnacentral:rRNA from 1 species
GAUGAACGCUGGCGGCGUGCUUAACACAUGCAAGUCGAACGGAAAGGCCCUGCUUUUGUGGGGUGCUCGAGUGGCGAACGGGUGAGUAUCACGUGAGUAACCUGCCCCUGACUUUGUGGUAACUUCAGGAAAAUGGGGCUAAUACCCGAUAGGAGCUCCUGCAGCACGGUGGGGGUUGGAAAGUUUCGGCGGUUGUGGAUGGACUCGCGGCUUAUCAGCUUGUUGGGGGGGUUGUUGCUUACCAAGGCUUUGACGGGUAGGCGGCCUGGGAGGGUUACCGGCGACCAUGGGCCUGCGGGACGGCCCAGACGGCUACGGGAGGCAGCAGGGGGGAAUAUUGCACAAUGGGGGGAAGUCUGAUGCAGCAACGCCGCGUGCGGGAUGACGGCUUUCGGGUUGUAAACCGCUGUCGCAUGUGACGAAGCGGGAGUGACGGUAAUGAGUAAAGAAGCACCGGCUAACUACGUG